GACGAACGCUGGAGGCGUGCUUAACACAUGCAAGUCGAACGAUGAAAUGGAGCUUGCUCCAUGGAUUAGUGGCGAACGGGUGAGUAACACGUGAAUAACCUGCCCUUAAUUUUGGAAUAACCCAGGGAAACCUGGGCUAAUACCGGAUAAGUAAACCUGUGGCAUCACAUGGUUUUGGAAAGUUUUUCGAUUAAGGAUGGAUUCGCGGCCUAUCAGCUUGUUGGUGAGGUAAUGGCUCACCAAGGCGACGACGAGUAGCCGGCCUGAGAGGGUGAACGGCCACACUGGGACUGAGACACGGCCCAGACUCCUACGGGAGGCAGCAGUGGGGAAUAUUGCGCAAUGGACGAAAGUCUGACUCAGCGACGCCACGUGAGGGACGAAGGUCUUCGGAUUGUAAACCUCUUUCAGCAGGGACGAAGCGAAAGUGACGGUACCUGCAGAAGAAGCACCGGCUAACUAUGUGCCAGCAGCCGCCGUAA
rnacentral:rRNA from 1 species